GGAAGGGUGGCCGAGUGGUUUAAGGCACCGGUCUUGAAAACCGGCGUGCCCGCAAGGGUACCGUGGGUUCGAAUCCCACCCCUUCCG
rfam:Bradyrhizobium elkanii strain TASWS1015 Contig177, whole genome shotgun sequence.